CGAAAGUCUGACGGAGCAACGCCGCGUGAGUGAUGAAGGUUUUCGGAUCGUAAAGCUCUGUUGUUAGGGAAGAACAAGUGCAAGAGUAACUGCUUGCACCUUGACGGUACCUAACCAGAAAGCCACGGCUAACUACGUGCCAGCAGCCGCGGUAAUACGUAGGUGGCAAGCGUUGUCCGGAAUUAUUGGGCGUAAAGGGCUCGCAGGCGGUUUCUUAAGUCUGAUGUGAAAGCCCCCGGCUCAACCGGGGAGGGUCAUUGGAAACUGGGAAACUUGAGUGCAGAAGAGGAGAGUGGAAUUCCACGUGUAGCGGUGAAAUGCGUAGAGAUGUGGAGGAACACCAGUGGCGAAGGCGACUCUCUGGUCUGUAACUGACGCUGAGGAGCGAAAGCGUGGGGAGCGAACAGGAUUAGAUACCCUGGUAGUCCACGCCGUAAACGAUGAGUGCUAAGUGUUAGGGGGUUUCCGCCCCUUAGUGCUGCAGCUAACGCAUUAAGCACUCCGCCUGGGGAGUACGGUCGCAAGACUGAAACUCAAAGGAAUUGACGGGGGCCCGCACAAGCGGUGGAGCAUGUGGUUUAAUUCGAAGCAACGCGAAGAACCUUACCAGGUCUUGACAUCCUCUGACAACCCUAGAGAUAGGGCUUUCCCUUCGGGGAC
rnacentral:rRNA from 1 species